CUCCGUCCGCCGUUCCGUCUUCCAACCCAACCACAACCCCCCUCCCAAACCCCUCCUCUCACUCCGAGAUUCCGUCAAAUGCGGCUCCACUACGGUGCAUCUUUGUUCAUGGAAGUCAGCUUCCAACUACGUCAGGCUCAACCGGCAAGCCCUAGUGCUCUCAACCCAACUCCCUGUUUCGAGGAAUCUAUUCAAAAACAGAAGAGGAGUCGUGAGGGCUGCAACGAUCGAAGAAAUUGAAGCGGAGAAAACAUUAAUUGAGAAAGAUGUAAAAGCAAGGAUGGAAAAGACUAUCGAUACUGUUCGGUCUAGUUUCAAUUCAAUUAGGACUGGG
rnacentral:misc_RNA from 1 species